CCUACAUGGUGUCCCUUUGCAAGACGCCAGUUAGAAAAUAACCCAAGUUGAUCCACCGUUCUUGUCUCCAACUGAAACGGGGCAGUAAACCAAUAGUAUUGGUCGUUUGGCCAAGAUGAUCUUGUCUGGUUCUCAUUGCUAGGACUGCUGAAGAAAUAGGAGCCAUCAAUGUGAUUUUGUCUUUGGGAACCCCACAUGUGAAUGAAUCACCGAAUGAAUGAAUGAAAUUUUAAUCCUUAUAACAAAGAUAAGGCUGGAUCCUAAUAUAUUGCUUUAGGAUGAUUUUCAGGAAGCUCUACAAUUCCAAGCAUUUCCUCUCACAACAAUUUAAUAAA
rnacentral:lncRNA from 1 species